AACGAACGCUGGCGGCAUGCCUAACACAUGCAAGUCGAACGAGACCUUCGGGUCUAGUGGCGCACGGGUGCGUAACGCGUGGGAACCUGCCCUUAGGUUCGGAAUAACUCCCCGAAAGGGGUACUAAUACCGGAUAAUGUCUUCGGACCAAAGAUUUAUCGCCUUUGGAUGGGCCCGCGUUGGAUUAGCUGGUUGGUAGGGUAAAAGCUUACCAAGGCGACGAUCCAUAGCUGGUUUGAGAGGAUGAUCAGCCACACUGGGACUGAGACACGGCCCAGACUCGUACGGGAGGCAGCAGUGGGGGAUAUUGGACAAUGGGCGAAAGCCUGAUCCAGCAAUGCCGCGUGAGUGAUGAAGGGCUUAGGGUUGUAAAGCACUUUUACCCGGGAUGAUAAUGACGGUACCGGGAGAAGAAGCACCGGCUAACUCCGUG
rnacentral:rRNA from 1 species